CCAAACCCAAACUAGAAAUACUCAGCUUAUUAUUUUUCAACUAAAAUGAGUUCGUCGACUAAUUCCGCAGCAGCAUACCCUCCUCAUCCCCAACCUUACUCGAUGGCGCCUGGAUCUUAUUACGUGCAGGCUCCGCCACCUGCUGGUUAUCCCACAAGAGAUGCUCCAAAUCCUGCUUCCGCUCAUCAUGGGCCUGUAGAAACCAAGUCCAAGGGUGAUGGCUUCUGGAAGGGAUGUUGUGCUGCCUUGUGUUGUUGUUGUCUCUUGGAUGCUUGUUUUUGAACAUCAUCAUCCUAUGUGAUUUUUGAAUUCAGCCCAGUAAUCAUAUAUUACUUUAUUCGUUUGUGAAUUAUGUUUUCCUCACUUUCUGUAACUUUUGCGUUAUUAUUCGAUUAUGUAAUUCUUGUUGUUGCAUUAUUCGUAUAGUAAAAUUCUAUAAUUUGUUCAAAUAAAAGAGACAAGUUUUUGUGAGUAUUAAAUAGUUUCACGUUAUGAUAUUAACACUGUACAUUCACGAAUUCGCUUGAAAAAAAAAAAAGAAAAGAAGAAAGAAAACAUGAACUCGGAUUCUGAAGUUAUUAACUGUAUUUUAGGCUGGGUGGGGUAUGCAAUGUCAUCAGUUGAUGACGUGGGAGAACGUGUGACCAAACAUGUGGAAAAUGUAUAUUGGCCGUUCAAUCUAAUAUCCAUACAAUAAUAGAACCCUUAUGUCAUUCGAUUUGAUACUGCCACCAUAAUAGAUAAACAAUAGAAGAUUUGAGGAAGAGUUUCAGAAGGAAAAACAGAGGAAGAUGGAGUAGUUGUUUGAGUAAAACUUCUAUGGUGCAAUUCUUAGACAGUUUUGGGUAUUUCUCAGAUUCUUUGCUUAAGACAAAAGCCUAAGGCUUAUAUAUACAAGGAUAGAUAAAAUCCCAACCAUCCAUGCGGCGUAUUGAUCGACCAUACAAUAAAGUCAAAAAGUCAAACUAUUUGUAUCACAAUCUUUGAACUUCUUGUGCUGUGAAUGAUAUGCCUUGUUUAAGAACUUAUUUGUAUCACAAUCUCAAUUCUCCUAUUCACCAUAUUCUUGGACUGUUAUAUUCUGUGUUGCUUUUUAUUUAGUUCGAAAUCUUUCCUGUGAUGAAUGGUUGCUCUAAAAUUAUUUAUUAAAUACUUGAGGCAAGGGACUUAGCUCCAUCUAUUUUUAUAGGAUGAGAGCUUGUGAGAAUUCCCUGUAAAUGUCUCCUCUCAAGACCCCCGCCCCCUCUAUUCUUUUUGCUCUUGUUUUGGCACAUUGAUGAUUGAUGUGUGAUGCGAUCUUUAUGAUUUAUGCUUGAAUGCCUGUACUUUUCAGUGUUCUUCGUUUGUUAUUGCUGAUUAAUAACAACCUUCUUGUGUGAUUGGUCCAUUACAUUGUUUGUGCUAACUUUCCUUCUCAAAUUUGAUUACUUAGAGUCAGCAAUCUCUUUGACGAACGACUUUAUAGAAACAGCAAUCUCUUUGACGAACGACUUUACUAAGGUGCUAUCCAAGCACCCAGGAAGCAUAAAAGGUGAAGUUGUAGAUAAUAAAAAAUAGAUAUUUGUUGAUUAGCAAAAAACCCAACAAGAAAUGGAGGGAAAUGGUUCCAAAUUGGUGGCAAAUGGGUCUGAAGCUUUGAAGAGGUCAAAAGGAAUUGAUUUAACGAUUAUAUCCCUUAUAAAAUAGGGAUUUAACGGUUUUUUUGACGAAUGAACUAUUUAAGAGCACCUAUAUUAAUGUUAAGGACCAUAGGUGAUACAAAUUUUUUUUUUAACGAUGCAAUUUGAUAGUUUCGCAAACAUAGAGACGUUUUGUGAUAAAAAUCUUUUUGCAAAUUAUAAUUUGACAUAUGUGCAAAAAUAAUUCAUAAAAAACACAAAAAGAAAAACUUCUACACAUAUAUCAAACUGCCAUCGACAUAAAUGUUGAAACUUCUUCUUUACUAACGGGGAUGGUGGGAAGUAUUUUCCAUAAUAUAAUUGCUCUUUCCUACGGAGGUCGUCCACUCCAAAAGUAAUUAUGAGAACAGAAUAGGGCCCAUUGCGUUUUGCUUAGCAGUCUUGUUUUCUUUCUUUCUUUCUUAUUUCUUCUUUUUGGGGUCUGAACUGCCCCACAUAGGUACACUGUAGCCACCCGCGUAAGAGACACUAGUAAGAUAUCAAAUACGUAUCUUCCCAGAAACAACCACUCCAACAAUUGUCAUCUGCUUUCUUGAUCUAUAAAUUGCGCCUCAUCUAUCAUCUACCCAACAAACCAAACCCAGCUAAGUGUUUUCACUUUGUUUUCAUUCCCUUCUGUUUCUAGCAUCUCUCUUUUAUUUUCUUCUUCUACCUCCAUAGAAUACUUUGAAGGCCCUUAGAAAUAUUAUUCAAAGAUGAGUUCAUCAACUUACUCCGGAGCAGCAUACCCUCCCCCACCUUGUUCUACACCGCCGGGUCAGGCUCCACCACCUGCUGGUUAUCCAACAAGAGAUGCCCCAAAUCCCCAUGGACAUGGAGCUGUAGAAACAAAGUCAAAAGGUGAUGGCUUCUGGAAGGGAUGCUGUGCUGCCUUGUGCUGCUGUUGCGUUUUGGAUGCAUGUUUUUGAACAUCAUCCAGGAGAUUCUUGAAUUGAGAGCCCAAUAAUCCACAUAUAUCUUUCAUUUGUGAAUUUUAUUUUACACACAUUUAUUUCAGUUUUUCCGUUGUUAUACUUCUAUGAGGAAAGGACCAUGUCGAUUUCCCAUAUAGUGAUCCUACGUACCGAUUGUCCAAUUCUUUUUAUUGUAUAAUGAUUCUUAUAAUAAAAUUUCUUCAUUUGCAGCUAAUAUAAGGAAAUCUUCCAUGAAUUUAUCUUGAAUCGGGAUCUUUUGGCUCAACUUUAUCUUAGUUCUAACGAGGGAGCAACCUCAUUUUUCACCUUGAAGUGGUCAAAAUAUAUGUGAAAUUUUUUUACUUUUUGUAGAGGAUUAGAUCUAGUAAUUGGAGGUCAUGGCUGACUCACACCAUAAUUUAGCUAUUGCAAUUCUUUUUUCCUUGGUAGCGGGUCACAUGUAUAGAAUCAACUGGGACAUUGGUCAUUGAUGCAAGAGCAUAUGGGUGGAUUAAGAUAGAUAUUUAGCAUUUAAUUAGUUAUUUCAUGAUAUAUUGUUAUUUUCUUACUUAGGUAGUUUUAAGAUAUCUUUUAUUAUUUCACUACUACAAAAAGUGAGAAAGACGACCAGAAAACAACGACGGUCUAAGUGAAAACCGUCGUGGUUUAUAAAAAGACGACGGUUCUAAAAACACCGUCGUGUAAUACAACCUUAGACAACUAAAAAAUGGAGUUUCAAAUGGCUGUUCAAAAACAACGACGUACAUAAUUAAACAACCGACGUCUAUUUGAAACAGAUUUCCGCAGUGUAAAAUCAAUGCCAACAAAGAACGGCAGAAGUUAUGAAUCGACCGACGUAGAAAGUAAAGACGACGAUUUCAAUAAAAACUGCCGUUUUUACUCAUAAAAUAAGACGACGAGGUUUUCGUAUAAGACGCCGUAUAAUUACAAACAAAUCCACGGCUUUAAAAUACAAAAUAUCGCCGUAUUAAAUUAAUUUACAACGACGGAAAAUAUAAAUAUAUCGACGUCAUUCUCGUAUAGUUCUACUACGUUAUCUUUAAAUCGUACAAUAAAAUUUAUCGUCGUAUUUAUUCAUUUUAUACGUCGUACCUUUAAUUUUAACGGUCGUCUUAAUAAGAAUUUUUGUUAACAAUUUUUUUCUUUGAUUUUCAUAUCCUACGUCGGUAGAUCUACUUAAUGACAAGAAUUGAAAUAACCACGACGGUUUAUAUAGAACACCGCCGACAUAAUCAGUUUUGUCUGAGAUCCCAAGGGUUACGAAAUCUUACCAGAUGGAACUCUGUUCCACAUCAUAAUCUUAACAGAUGACACAGAUUUGCAAAUAUUGCGUCGUGUUAGUUUACAAAUUCUAGAACAUUAAUUUCCCUCAUUUUAAAUUUCCUCGGGAAAGAAAAAUCUAUUUAUCACGCUUUGGAAUUGAAAACUAAAACUGAAAGAAUACGGGAAAAAAAACUCCAUUUAUAAUUUAAAAUUAAAAUCCACGUCGGUUGUAGUACACUUAACGACGUUUAACAAAAUAAUCUACGUCGGUAAUUAUAAAUCUACCGCCAUCGUAACUUAAUAUAGACGACGAGAAAAGACGACGGUAGAACAGAAAACCGCCGUUGUUUCAGUUUCUUUAACAUAUCUUUCUGCAGGACUUGUGUAGUUCAAAGCAUUGACAAUGUCUUCAUCAUAUCUCCCAGAAACUACUGAUUCAAUUGCUCAUGCUUUAGAGGCCAUCUGAAGCCAUUUCUAUUCUUAUCGCAUUCUUGAAACCCAUCUUCUUCUUCUGAAGCUCUACGGAUAAAGGAAGAGGCUAUCACAAUAAAUCCGAUGGAUCUUCUUAGGCAAGAAAAUCAAGCAGAGGAUCAGGCACAUCUGAUCUUCAGAUUUCCCUGAGAAGCGAACUUUCCUUCGACAGCGAGUGGAGGCCAGGCUUGCAUCUCUUUUGAUGGAAAGCAAGGAGUAUUCAGAAGCACUAAGUGUCCUAUCAGGCUUGAUCAAGGAAGUGAGAAGGCUAGUUGACAAGCUUCUUCUUGUGGACAUAUAUUUGAUGCGAGUAAGCUCAAUUUCUCUUUGAGAAAACAUCCAAAUUAUUAUCUUUGAGACAUGAGAGACUGAGAGAGGAAGAACUUGGAACCUUAAAUGUAAACCGAAAAUGAAUGAAAGCGACAAAUUUAUAGAAUAAAUUUUUAAAACCAACGGCGGUCCUUACAAAAAAACCGCCGUUUAAAUUGUAAAAUCAACGUCGGUAUGAUCGACGUAUAUUACAGAAAUCCACGUCGGUAAAUUAAUAAAAACGACGUGUUAAAUAAUAUACCAUGACGCGAGUUAUUACUUAUGUACUUUAAUUUUUGAGUUUACUACGACGGUACCUACAAACUACUGUCGUAUUUAUUUACCACGUCCGAAGUUAAAUGUACCGUCGUAUUUUGUAAUUUAUACGUCGUAGUUAUAUGUAACCGCCAUAUUAUUUUUUUGAAAUGGUUUUAUAUGUAAGCAACUUUUCGUCUACUUGACUUACACAUUUGUUGUUUUUAUAUUCUUAUUUUAUUUAAAUCUGUCAUCCAAAAAAGAAACUUUACAUAUUGCAGAAUAUUAAUUUCCUUCGUUUUAAAUUUCCUCCGGAAAAAAAACUCUAUUUAUAACGCCCUGUAAUUGAAAAAUAAACUGAAAGGUCACGGGAAAAAAAAUUCUAUUCAUAAUUUAAAAAUUAAAAUCCACGUCGGUUAUAUUAAACCUAACGACGUUAAAUGAAAUGAUUCCACGUCGAAUGAAAAAUAUUGCGUCGUUUUAGUUAAAAACGACGUAGUUAAAUGUAACCGCCGUAUUAUUUUUUUGAAAUGGUUUUAUAUGUAAGCAACUUUUCGACUUACACAUGCACUGUUUCCAAACCCGAUUAAAAAUUUCAAUCUCCCAGAGAAACCUUUUCGUCUUUUUUCCUUGUCAGAGCAUUGUCAGAGUUUCUCAUCGUCUUCCUCUCGUCUUCUUCGUCGUCUCUGAACUUAAACAUCGAUCAUCUUCCUCUUGCUUUCAUUGCACGCAAAAGGUAAGCUUUCAUUUUCACUAUUUUGGUUACUGUUUUGCAUGCUCAUACGUUUUUUGUUUGAAAAAUCUUUUUACCUUUUUUAUGGCCAAAAUCGUUUUACUUCUUUCCAAGUUUGAUAAAAUAUACAGACAAAGAGAGAAAGUUUCCAACUUUGAAGACAACUACAUCAACUAAAUAAGACGACGGUAGACCACGACGGUUCGUCAGUUGUUCUAGCGUCGUCUGAAAAUUGACAAAGUUGUUUUUAAAAUAAUAGUCUUUUUUUAUAUGCUUGUUUAAUUGCAGGUUUGAUUUCGCUGAACAAUGGUUUUUGUUUUUCCCUUAUUUGAUAAAAUAUAAAGAAAAAGAAACUAGGGUUGGUAUCUAAUAUAGACGACAAAAUAUCUUAUUGUUUUACGUCGUGUGAAUGUUAAUACCACGACGGUGUAUUACUAUUGACGUCGUAUGAACAUAAAUACCACGACGUUAUAUAAAUAAUAGUUUACCACGACGGUGUAUUACUAUUGACGUCGUGUGAACAUAUAUACCACGACGUUAUAUAAAUAAUGGUUUUAAACAUUUAUUACGUCUGAGAUUAUUUCAUUGCGUCGUCUAAAAUCAUAUCAUACGUCGUAUUUUUUUAAUACCGUCGUUUGUGUUCUUAAUGUUUUCCUGAAAUAUUUUCACUUGCAGUUUUGUCUGUUAAAAUGGUUUCUCAACAACAAACUAAGGAUUCUGGCUCCAAGAAGCUUGGAAUGGUAGCUCCUCAAGAUAAGUCUUCGAAGGAGAUGAAGUCUUCGAAGAAGAUGAAGUUUGCUUCAUCAUCUGCUGAGACAGAACAAACCAGCCAGACAACAAUCUCAGAUGAUUCAAGGACUGGUCGAGGUAUGAGCACAAUGCCUCGUGUUGUGAAGAGAAAGCUUCAGAAACUGAGGCCAAUUGUUGAGUACAAUAAAAGGGGGAAAGGUGUUGGCCAAGCACAUAUUGAGAUGCAGUCGUAUAUUGGUGUGUUGGCACGCUCCAGGAUCCCACUUGUGGACAAGAAAUGGUCCCAAAUCCCCAAGGAUAUAAAGGAGCAGAUUUGGGAAGCAGUUGACAUGGCUUUUGUCGUAGGCCAAGGGGGCAAGACCUCUGUUUUAGCUUCUGCUUCCAAGAAAUGGAAGGAUUUACUACGUCGUUGAAUGGAUAUACUACGUCGGUUAUGAAAAAUAUCGUCGUCUGUGAUUGAAUUUCUUUUUAUUUAUAAACCCUAAUAGUCAUUGUUUAUGCAGUAUGCCAAGGGAAACCAGGAAGCUUCAUACCCCCAAGAAGCCAUUGAUGAAGUCCGGAAUGAAUGGGCAGAGUUUGUUUUCCAAAUUAUUAAACAGGGCAAUUAUUGAACACUUGAUAUUUAUGUAUAAUGUACCAAUUUUCUCUAUAAUAUGUAAUGUAAAAAUUUGUUGAGGUUUUCUUAAAUUAAAAAAAAAAACAAACAUACAAAUUGCUUAACCGACGUGUAAUACUUUUCCAACGACCUAAUAAAGUCAAUAACCGUCGUAUUUUGUUGUUGCGUGUUUUAAACAAAUACGACGUAAAAAAAUAGUUAGACGACGUUCUUUGAACAAUUGAGUCGUUAAUGGUUUACAAUAUCUUCAAUUUCUUAAGGGUUCAGGGUAUAAUCGACGACGUUUAUGUAACGACUGCGGUUAAGUCGUAAAAUAUAUAUUUUACGUCGUAUAGUUAAAUAGCCGCCAUGGUUUCUCAUUUUAACGACGUCAUUUUAACGACUUAGUAGUCUAUUACAAUUUACAACGUCUACAAUUUAUUUAACACCGACGUGGUUUGUUGUAUGGUAAGAAUAUUUUAUUAUUUUUAUAUCAAAAUAUUCAAAAUAAAUAUAAAAUAAAUCAGAAAAUUGAAAAGUCAACUCCUAUGAAGUCAUUGAUAUAUUUUCUUCCACAUAAACCUUGAAAAAAUUCAUUUUGAAUAACAAAAAUUUAAAAUGACCAUCCAAAACAAAAUUGUUUUGAUGAGUCAUAAAAUCACUUCUAGUUUUAUGGUUUAGGGUUUAGAGUCUAGGGUUUAGAGAUUAGGGUUGUUAUUUAUUGGGGUUUAUUUUUAAAGUAUAAUUUUUGGGUAGUCUAGGGUAUAUGUUAGGCUUUAAAACCAUAAAACCUUUUAUAAACUUAAUUUUUUAAAUUGUAUAAUUUAAUUUUAUGGGUUUAGUGUAUUAAUUUUUAACGACGGUGGUUGGGUCGUGGAAUACAUAUUUUACGUCGUACAGUAAAACAUACGACAUGGUUUACGCUUUAAACGACGUCAUUUUAAUAUGUAAGUCGGUUUAUAUAAUUUACAACGUUUUUAAUUUCUUAACACCGACGUGGUUUCUCAUUUUAACGACGUCAUUUUAACGACUUAGUAGUCUAUUACAAUUUACAACGUCUACAAUUUAUUUAACACCGACGUGGUUUGUUGUAUGGUAAGAAUAUUUUAUUAUUUUUAUAUCAAAAUAUUCAAAAUAAAUAUAAAAUAAAUCAGAAAAUUGAAAAGUCAACUCCUAUGAAGUCAUUGAUAUAUUUUCUUCCACAUAAACCUUGAAAAAAUUCAUUUUGAAUAACAAAAAUUUAAAAUGACCAUCCAAAAUAAAAUUGUUUUGAUGAGUCAUAAAAUCACUUCUAGUUUUAUGGUUUAGGGUUUAGAGUCUAGGGUUUAGAGAUUAGGGUUGUUAUUUAUUGGGGUUUAUUUUUAAAGUAUAAUUUUUGGGUAGUCUAUGUUAUAUGUUAGGCUUUAAAACCAUAAAACCUUUUAUAAACUUAAUUUUUUAAAUUGUAUAAUUUAAUUUUAUGGGUUUAGUGUAUUAAUUUUUAACGACGGUGGUUGGGUCGUGGAAUACAUAUUUUACGUCGUACAGUAAAACAUACGACAUGGUUUACGCUUUAAACGACGUUAUUUUAAUAUGUAAGUCGGUUUAUAUAAUUUACAACGUCUUUAAUUUCUUAACACCGACGUGGUUUUUCAGUCGUCGUUAUAUAAAAAAUUCAAAAUAAAUUUAAAAUUAAUCCGAAAAAUGAACGGCCUUACGUUCUUAAUCCGAAAAAUGAAGUUUCCGUCGUGGAAUAUUAAAUUUACGUCGGUACUUGUAGAACUUUCGCCUUGGUUUUUCUUUCGACGUUUUAUAACGCGCGCGCUCUAAAAAUUUUCGCGCGACCUAAAUUUUUUUAGAUUUGGCUCUUAUUCUUAUACUUUGAUCCCUGAAACCUAAAAUUUCAGAUUUCACGCGACAUAACAUUUCGCUCUCUCACUUCUGCUCUAAUUAAAAGUUGCACUCUCCAGGCUCGUCGAAUCUGUGAGCUCGUCCAACCUGUAAGUACAAACCCUAUCUUCCCCUUGUAAAUUCAUUGAAUGAUAUUAGGUUGUUUUGUUAAAGGGUUUUAGGUAUAUGCUUUGCGAUCUGUUAAUAAUGUGCUUAUAGGUAUGGGUUCAUGGAUUUUCUGUUUAAUGGGUUCAUGACAAAGGUGUACUUUUGCUGGAAAUCAACACAAAAAGACACAUCACCAACUUCCAAAUGAUUUCCAGCAAAAGGACACCUUUAUUUGAUCUUGUCAUUUUCCGCUCUGGAGAAGGUGCAAAGUGCACCAAUGCUUAUAGGUAUGGGUUCAUGGAUUUUCUGUUUAAUGGGUUCAUGGAUUACAUUAUCUGUUAUGUUGAAUUGGGAAUGGAUUUAAUUUUGUCGUAUCUUUUAAUCACCCUAUGUUAUGUUGAAUUGGGAAUGGAUUUAUUGUUUUCAUGCUUGGUUUCAUGUAUAUGUUGGUUUCUUGCUUGGUUUCAUAUAUAUGUUGUGUUCUUAAUGGGUUUUGUGUUCUUGAAAAUAAACUGAGACACGACGAAUUUUAAGGCGUACGACGACGAUUACACGACGGUGUUUUUAAACUACCGUCGUUGUAUUACUUAUACACGACGGUUUUUUCAUAAACCGUCGUUUGUAUUACGUAUAAUAGACGACGUCUGUUGAAAAUCCGUCGUCUAUAUAUGCCAAAUACGUCUGUUUUUGAUUAAAACCCGUCGUCUCUGUUGUUUAUCUUAUAUAUUUGGGACCGUAAUGCUUGAAUUUUUCGUGUCAUGUAGGCAACAUAUGAUCCACAUCAAGACUGCUUAUCCAAAAUUUAGAAAGAGAACAAAGUGGCUGCAGGAUAAGCACAAUAGCACUUUCAUUCAAUGGCUACGCUUCAAGGUAUAUGUUGUUCAAUAACGUAUUUCUCUUUUAAUUUUCUUCUUAUUUAUAUGUUAGGAUGAAUUAAGAUAUGAUUAAUUUGCAGGUUCAAAGUGAAGUUGAGGAAGACAAUCAUGGCGUAUCAGAAAAUUUAAGGUGGCUAGCAGCUGGUCCAAACAUGUCAGUGCCAUUAUAUAGGAGCUAUCUUAUUAAAGGUAUUAAAUUCAAUAUCAAGGCACAAGAUGAUGUGCGGACAACUCAAAAUAGUGGAGUUUAUUUACUUGCACAUACCAUGCAAGUUGCUAGUGCCAAGGAUAAAAACCCAAUUCUCUCAAAUAUGGGUUUCUAUGGUGUCAUUCAAGAAAUUUGGGACCUUGACUACCAAAAGUUUACAAUCCCAGUCUUUAGGUGUGAUUGGAUAGAUAGUUCUGGUCUUGUAGUCGACGAACUUGGAUUUACCCUUGUAGAUUUGAGUAAAAUUGGACAUAGGAAUGACCAAUUUGUUUUGGCUUCUCAAGUCAAACAAAUAUUUUUUGUUGACGACCCGAUGCAUCGUGGUUGGUCGGUAGUGUUAUCAAUGCCUAGUAGAGAAUAUAAUGAUGUUAUUGGUGAUGAAGUAUUAGGUGAUGUGAUAAUUGAGUGUGAGCCAUUUACUAGAGGGAUGCCAAAUGUUGACACAUUUGAUGAACUGGUAGGUGAGUUAGGCGGUCAAAAUAUUCGAGAUGGGUGUGAAGAUAUAUGGAUUGAAUGAUGCUUAUGUAAUUGGCAGUGUAUGACAUUAAUUUUGUAAUAUAUUGUAAUGUGAUUUCUUCACUUUCUACGUUCAAAUAAAACACGACGUUAUUGUGAAUCAGUUAUUCAGCAUAUUUACCGACGUCUUAAAGCAACGUAACAAUGAAGAACCACGACGCUAUUGUGAAGCAAUUAUUCAGGAUAUCACGUCGGUGAAGGAUAAAGAACCGCCAUGUAAUUCAAAAUAACACGACUCCAAUCCCAUAAUACCGACGUCUAAAAAACGAGAUAUGUAAUCUGAACGUUAAAAAAUACGACGUCAUCAUACAUUUUCCACGUCGCAAGUUCUUUUAUAAACGAAGAGGAACGAAAUUAAUUCCGACGGAAAUUCAUUAUAACCGCCGUCUAAUAACAAUUAAACGACGUUAUUUGUAAUACGGCUCCCAUCAUAAUCUACGCCGUCUAUAUGUUCUGUAAUACGGCUCUCAUUUAUUUGGAACCGACGUUGUUUAGACGUUCAACGUCGUCUAUAUUAUUAAGUGCGUCGUGAGUAAUGAAUACAUAUAAAUACAACGUCGACUAUAUAAAUGUAUACGUCGUAAAUAAUGACACUGACAACUAUUUCCACGUCAUCUUUUUUAGAAAAAUCGAAGUGGAAAAUUUAUUUCACGACGGUUUUUUGUAAAUAAGAGACGUUGUAGAACUUUAGCAGACUAAACACGUCUGUUUUUAUUGUUUUCCGACGUUGUUGUAUUUAACAACGUCUAAUAUUUAUGGUCGUUGUUUGUUUCUGAAAAUAGGACGUAUAAAUUUUUUAAUACGACUCUCAUAUAUUUGUAACUGACGUUGUUUAGUUUUUCAACGUCUACUAUAGAAACACAUACGUCGUAAAUAAUGACACUGACAACUAUUUCCACGUCAUCUUUUAUCGAAAAAUCGAAGUGGAAAAUUAAUUGUACGACGGUUGUGUUUAUAUGUGCGACGUAGUAGGUAUCAAUAACGUCGUCUUCUAAUGUAUUUAAAGACGUCAUAUUUUUUAUUGUCGUGAAAAUUAUAUUUAACGUCGGCGUAUUUUUAGUGUCGUCGUUGUAUGUCUAUCUUGCGGCUUUGUUCUCUUAAUAUGUGUCAUAUUUUCCCUUUUUAACGACGGUGUUUUUAGAGAAUUGGUCGUCUAUUAUCAUCCUCGAUUGCUUUUUUUAGAUCUUUUUGCAGUACAAAGACGUCGUUUUGUAUUUUUUGAUGACGUUGUAUUGUUUAACAACGACGGUUAUUUAGCGUCGUGGUUUAUGAGGGAAAAGAUGACGGUGGAUUCCACGACCAUUGAAAAACCAAAUACACGACGGUGAUUUACCGUCGUCUUUUUGCUUUUUUGUAGUAGUGUUUGUGUGAUUUUAUAAAUUAAUUAGUUUACUUUUGGACCAAGUAGCCUUGGUGCCCAAGUCUUGUAAAGCCUAUAAAUAAGGCUAAUGUAAUAGUUGUUGGGGAAGGGGGGGUGUUGAUGUUGAUAAUUAAUGAAAUAGUUUAUUUGUGGUAUAGAUUUGCUACGAUAUAUGCGAGUUUGCACUAAUCCUAGAUUUCGGUACUUGUGUAUGUGGUUGGUGACCUAUGUUCAGAUCCCGAUCCCCAUCAAUUGGUAUCAGAUCUAUGGCUCAAGAUUUGCUUUAUCAGGAAGGUUUUUGGGUGGAGGGUCUUGUUGACAACUACAACGACAUUGAGGAAAUUAGAAGGAUGCUACGGCAACUUACGGAAUGCAUCGCUCGCAUUGAAGCUCAAACCCAGAUAGGUAAGAGUUCUGACGGGUAGAGAUGCGUGAACCCUUAUCUGAAUCGAGUAGCUCGCAUCGACACUCUAAGCCAUGGGAGUCUCGACAGAGAGUAUGAGGGAGGUAGCCCUUUGAUUCAAGCCUACGAUAUAUGUGAGUUUGUACUAGACCUAGAUUUCAGUAUUCGUGUAUGUGGUUGGUGACCUAUCUCCGGAUCCCGAUCCCCAUCAGUCAUGAUAUAAAAGAUAUUUUAUAGAGACUUACAUUCCCAAUGUGGGACAUGUCGCUUAACCCAACAAUCUUAACUAGUAUAAUACGAAACAAAAAACAAUGAUUGAUGUUUCAUUUCCUUAAUAUGUCAGAUGAAUUCUGUAGGGGCUUUUUUUCUUCCGGUAGCUAUAAAUGGGCUGGACUGCCGUAAAGAGCAAAAUGGCUGAAAUUUCCCCUUUAUGUUUGAGUUCAAAUAUCAGACCCCAAAAUGUUUCGAAAGGAUAGUAAAGCCUUAGGAAACACCCUAGUUACCUUCACCAACGAACAUAAUGGUUGUUUACAGAUGAAUUCUUAGUGCUUACAUGUAGAAUCUUAGCUUGGCAUGAGAGGCUUGUGGCAUGGGAGCAAAGUUGUCAUGAGUUUAGCACUAAAGAGAAAAUUAAGUAUUCCUAGGGGAAAGAUGUGGUAUUAAGGUGGGAGAGAAAUGAUUUUACAAAGAGGUUUGGUUGAGCAUGAAGGAAAGAGAGGAACGGGUGGCUUGAGUGUUUUUCCUGCAGCUUGACAGAGGCUCUGUCAAGUGUUAGAACAGCUUGCCAAGAGGGAAACUAAGGGAAAAGGAUGGGUUGAGCACGAAAUUGCUGGGUUUUGGGAGUAAGAGAGGAAGUUUGCUUUCUGGAUGUGAUUGAUGCUUGUUGGGUAGAAGAGGCCUCUUUUAUAGCCGCUGGAAGCUGACAUUUUCCAAGAAACCCUUAUAGUUUCUAUCCAAUUUGGCCAAAUCUCUCCCUUCAUUUCUUCUCUCCUCCUUUGAAUUUUCCCAUCUUGGUGAAAUUUCUUCGGUCUAUUUGCACAAAAUCAUGGAUUUUUGGGAGCUCAAGGCCCUUUCCCGCAGCUGUUUUAGUAGGAGACUCCCAUUCUCAGCUAUUUCACUUUUUCUUUCCUUCCUCCUUCCAUGGCUAGAUCUGAUCAAGGAAAGCAAAUGGAUAUACAUGCUAGUUCGAAGGGUGCCUCUCCUCCUGGCAGCUUGCGCGCUAAUAUCCUUUGGUUCUUCGGAUGUUUUGUGCAUGGAACUUGUUCCUUCCCAUGUGCUAGAGCCUUCCAGCAGCUCUGCAUAUGUGGACAUCUUGCUCCCUUCGUGGCUUCUAUUUUUUCAGCAAGGGGUUGAGGCUUUUGCUGCUUCUCAUUUCUAAUUGUAUGGGCCUUCUAAGAUAACAAGUCAACUUACCAAAUAAAUGGGCUAAUCUCAUCAAGUAUUGGGCUAUAUUGGUUAAUUUAAUGGACCAUUUUGGGCUAAGGUAAUGAGCUAUUUUUCUCCUUCGUGCUUACCCAUAUAUUUGGGCUUAAGAAAUGGGCUUGGGUUCUGAGGCUCCCAAGCAACCCGGGACCUGUAUUUCUUGGCCCAUCAAUGGGCCUUAUGACAACUUAUUACCAUCUAUACCACAACCCACUCAAGCAAGCCCCUGACAUUUGAGUGGCUUGGGUCCACUUAGGCUUGUAGCGUGGUUGGGUGUGAAAUAAUAAUUUCCUGCUUGACCUGGCAUGUUGCUUGGUACGCUCUAAUUUUAUUGUCCUUAGAGAGGGACACGGUGCUUAUUUUAGCAUGGGCUUGUAUUUUAUAACCUUACCCCAAUUCCUGGCAUGACAAAUUAUUUAUUUAGCUUAGCACGUGGGCUGUGACUUGUAUAUGACUGGCCUUCAUGUACUCUGAUAUGUGACUUUUCUUAAUAAAUUAUCGUAUUUGGGCCGAAAAUUUAUUUGGGUCCAACCAUGGACUUUUUUUGGGCCUCAACAAAUUCCAAUGCAAAAAAUAAAUAGAAAAGCUUUAUGACGUUAAAAAUUUGAAAUUAAACAUAACAUUAAUUAAAUUCAACCUGAAAUGUAAACUAUGCAUAAUGAGGUAAAAUGUCAAAAAGUGUAUUUUUUUUCGGCCAUCGGAUUUCAAAAUGCAUUUAUUUCAAUAUAAUCUAAAUUACGGAGAGAGGAAUUCGAACUUGGGUGCAGAGUGGGGAGUAUGUCUGUUCUAACCAACUUGGCUAAGCCCAUGCCUACACUAGAGAUAUAUAAUUCUAAAAAGUGAAUGAAAUUAUUGAUGAAAAUGUGACCCAAAAAAAAAAAACCAUCUUGAAGAAUACUUCUAGAAAGCCAGAGGCGAAAAAUUUGGCUCUUUAAAAUUAAGGAGGAACUCAUCCUCAAGGCAAAUGAAAAUUUGACAUAUGUCAAAUUAUGUCAAAUUCCAAAACAAAGAAAGUUAAAAGAAUUUUAAAAAUAAAAUUGACAAGUGUCAAAAUCCCUUUUGUUUUGAGAAGCAACUCGAGCUUAAAAGGAGUAGAGGUGUCAAACGGGACGGGCCGAACCAGCACAGCACGAGCCCAGCCCGUUUAAAUGAGGCACGACAUGGUACGAGCAUGAAUAUUGAUUGGCCGUGCUUGGCACGGCACGAAAACUUGAGCCAAGCCGGGAUCAAAAAAUGAGGUCCAAUAGACCGGGCCGGCCCAUGGCCCGACAUGGGCCGGGCUUGGCCCGAGCAUGCUUCAAGCACGGCAUGAGCCCAAGCACGAGCCCAAGCAUGGCCCAAGCACAGUCCACUUAACAUUUUUUUCUUUCUCAAAAGUCAAAAUGCAAUAAUUUGACAUAUAAUAUCAUUAUUUAUAUGUUUUUUUUUAAUAAUAUAAAUAUAUAUUUUAUGUCUUUCAUUUUAGGGAAAUUACUUGGGUCCUUAAUUAAUUAAACAUAUCAACUACAAAUUAAUUAAACAACACUGGACUUGAUAUCUAAUCAGUACAUAUGACAUAUACGCUUCUCUUAUAAUCAAAGCAAGACAUUUUUUCACAUAUAAAAUAAUAAAUUGUUUAAAGAUGAAAAGAUGAAGUGGACUUUGUGGAGUUGGACACUUUUUGCCGUCCGCCAUUUCAUAUUAUUUGGAUGUUUGAUUGAUUAUUGUUUUCAAAUAGUUCAUAAUUUCUUGCCCUUAAUUAUACUUUUAAUGUUUAUAAUUUGAAUUAUCUAGUAGAAAAAAAAAAUCAAGUGAAAAAAAAUCAAAUUAAAUGGAUUGGUUCUUGGGCCCGAAUAUGGCACGAGCUCGGCCCGACCCGGCCCGAUUCAAUAUAGACAUGGGCUUUGGGCCGGACCGAAAUCAAUGAUUUUACUAAAUGGGCCGGCAUGGCACGGCCAGAUAAAUUAAAUGAACCGGUCCUGCCCGACACAAAAACAUUAAAAGUACGAGUUUAAACAGGAUGGGCCAGCCCGGCACGGCCCCUUUUGACACCUCUAAAAAGAAGUCAAGCUUUUUUCCAAGCCAACUAUGUUGGAUAUCCUCUCACGAGUUGGAUAUAAUAUGAUUUGCUCUUUCCUACGUAGCUUCCACUGGCUAGUCCAAAAGUAAUAAGAAGAAUAAAAUUUUGUAUUUUUCUUCUCCACAUACAUUUUGGAUUUGCACGCGGUGUAGUGUUGCCACCCGCGUUAAGACACUAAUUAUUGACCUUCCAGGAAAUGAACAAUCACUCCAAUUCCCAUCUGGUUUUCUUCAUGUAUACCUAUAAAAUGGGGCUUCAUUCAUCAAAUCAAACCAUCCAAUACAAACCAAACCCAAACUAGAAAUACUCAGCUUAUUAUUUUUCAACUAAAGUGAGUUCGUCGACUAAUUCCGCAGCAGCAUACCCUCCUCAUCCCCAACCUUACUCGAUGGCGCCCGGAUCUUAUUACGUGCAGGCUCCGCCACCUGCUGGUUAUCCCACAAGAGAUGCUCUAAAUCCUGCUUCCGCUCAUCAUGGGCCUGUAGAAACCAAGUCCAAGGGUGAUGGCUUCUGGAAGGGAUGUUGUGCUGCCUUGUGUUGUUGUUGUCUCUUGGAUGCUUGUUUUUGAACAUCAUGAUCCUAUGCGAUUCUUGAAUUCAGCCCAGUAAUCAUAUAUUUCUUUAUUCGUUUGUGAAUUAUGUUUUCCUCACUUUUUGUAACUUUUGCGUUAUUAUUCGAUUAUGUAAUUCUUGUUGUUGCAUUAUUCGUAUAGUAAAAUUCUUUAAUUUGUUCAAAUAAAAGAAAGAAGUUUUUGUGAGUAUUAAAUAGUUGGGUAAUUUUCACUUUAUUACGGUAAAGUUUACUGACUUUUAGAGCUCGAUUCAUCAAAUUUUGUUCGUUUCAGUGGCAUACACAAAGUUUAUUUUCUUACAACUUUCAUACAUAUCGUCAGUCUUUCUGUUAAUUGCUGACGUGGCAACAAAUGUGCC
rnacentral:lncRNA from 1 species